AGUGAACGCUGGCGGUAGGCCUAACACAUGCAAGUCGAACGGCAGCACAGUAAGGGCUUGCUCUUACGGGUGGCGAGUGGCGGACGGGUGAGGAAUACAUCGGAAUCUACUUUUUCGUGGGGGAUAACGUAGGGAAACUUACGCUAAUACCGCAUACGACCUACGGGUGAAAGCAGGGGAUCUUCGGACCUUGCGCGAUUGAAUGAGCCGAUGUCGGAUUAGCUAGUUGGCGGGGUAAAGGCCCACCAAGGCGACGAUCCGUAGCUGGUCUGAGAGGAUGAUCAGCCACACCGGAACUGAGACACGGUCCAGACUCCUACGGGAGGCAGCAGUGGGGAAUAUUGGACAAUGGGCGCAAGCCUGAUCCAGCCAUACCGCGUGGGUGAAGAAGGCCUUCGGGUUGUAAAGCCCUUUUGUUGGGAAAGAAAAGCAGCAGGUUAAUACCCCGCUGUUCUGACGGUACCCAAAGAAUAAGCACCGGCUAACUUCGUG
rnacentral:rRNA from 1 species